GGAAGAGGACUUCCUACCUCUCCUCCUUUCCCAGGACUUCGAAAAAAGAGAUCUCCUUAAAGACCUUUGUACUAUGGACUGAACAUACCUACACUCCUGGACCAGAUUGAUGAAGACUUCUU